CGAUAAGUUGGCAGCGCUAUCAGCUGCAUAUGUUGGAAAUUUUCCAAGUUGUUGGAACAUGCGGUCGCUCAACGCGUUUUAGUCUCGCACAGAACUUUGGCACAAAUCCACCUUGUGCUUUGGCAAAAUGGCGGCUGGUUCUGACUAGCACAACUUCAUAUAUACCAGAUCGAUGGAACUCAGCAGCAACAAUAAAUCAAACAGACGGCUGACAAUGACAAUCGCGCCAGGCAUCAUGAUCAGGGUUAUCAUAACGGUAACCAACAUAGAGGAGGAGCCAGAAGUAAUGGUCGUCGACCAUGGAGUAAAAGAGAAAGAGGUGGACGUAGACCAUCAUUAAAUAAAACGGGACAUAGGCCGGAAAAAAAUUCUGGAGGGGGCUGGUCUUCCAAAGACAGCAUGCCCUCUUUCAGAACACCCGUUAUUUUUAAUUUCUUUGAGCUCACUUUUAGGCUAGACUUUGCCUUUUCAAAUUUCCGCGGCCCUAU